GCCUAAAAUCAAGCCUAUAUUUUAACCUAUGAAUUAUUACUCUUAAUAAUAACAUAAUAAAACAUUUUAUUCUCUAGUAGAGGCGAUCAAAAGACUUAUAAGCGCUUUAUAUACAGUACCGCAAGGGAACGAUGAAAUAGAUUUGAAAUAGCCUUAAAGCACAAAACAGCAGAGAUAACACCUCGUACCUUUUGCAUCAUGGUUUAGCUAGUCCUAGUUAAGCAAAGCGAAACAUUAGUUUAACCCCCCGAAACUAAGCGAGCUACUUCAAAACAGCUUCAUAGAGCUAACCCGUCUCUGUUGCAAAAGAGUGGGAUGAUUUUCAAGUAGAGGUGAAAAACCUACCGAGCUUAGAGAUAGCUGGUUAUUCAAGAAAAGAAUUUUAGUUCUGCCCUAAGUCUUUGUAUUACUUUAACAACCCCCUAAGACUUAGGAGUUAUUCAAAUAGGGCACAGCUUAUUUGAAACAGGAAACAACCUCUAAUAAAGGGUAAAAGAUUACUCCCUAACCAAGUGGGCCUAAAAGCAGCCACCUUUAAAAAAGCGUUAAAGCUUAAUUUUCUAUUUCCACUCAAUCCCCCCACCUAUCUUAAACCCUCCAUCCGUAUUGAAUGAUCCUAUAAACUAUGGGAGUCACCAUGCUAAAACUAGUAACAAGAAAUUGAAUUUCUCCAAAAUAUAAACAUAAACCAAAAUGGACUCCCCAUUGGUAAUUAACGUAAGUGAGCCUGAUGUAAUAACCCACCAAGAAAACUUUACAACCACCAACGUUAACCUUACACAAGAAUAUUUCUGGAAAGAUUAAAAGGAAGAGAAGGAACUCGGCAAAUCUUAACCCCGCCUGUUUACCAAAAACAUCGCCUCUUGACAAACUAUAAGAGGUCCAGCCUGCCCAGUGAUAUAAUUAAACGGCCGCGGUACCCUGACCGUGCGAAGGUAGCAUAAUCACUUGUUCUUUAAAUAAGGACUAGUAUCAACGGCAUCACGAGGGUUAUACUGUCUCCUCCCCCCAAUCAGUGAAACUAAUUUCCCCGUGAAGAAGCGGGGAUAAUAAUAUAAGACGAGAAGACCCCAUGGAGCUUUAAACCCAACAACAAUCUCAUGUAUACAUCCCCUGAUAACUGUAGAGAUCCUGUUUGUUGGUUUUAGGUUGGGGUGACCGCGGAGUAAAACUUAACCUCCACGACGAACGGGAUUAACCCCUUAUCCAAGAGCCACUGCUCUAAGAAUCAAUAAAUUGACGUAAAAUGAUCCGACAAUCGAUCAACGAACCAAGUUACCCUGGGGAUAACAGCGCAAUCCAUUUCAAGAGCCCCUAUCGACAAAUGGGUUUACGACCUCGAUGUUGGAUCAGGGUAUCCCAGUGGUGCAGCCGCUACUAAAGGUUUGUUUGUUCAACAAUUAAAACCCUACGUGAUCUGAGUUCAGACCGGAGUAAUCCAGGUCGGUUUCUAUCUAUAAAAUGUUGCUCUUAGUACGAAAGGAUUAGAAUAACAUGGCCAAUAUAUUAAAUAUGCCAUAACCCUCAACUAAUGAAUUAAUCUCAAUUAGUAAAGGCUUACCAAUACCUCUUAGACCAAGAA
rnacentral:rRNA from 1 species